rnacentral:rRNA from 1 species
AGAGUUUGAUCCUGGCUCAGGAUGAACGCUGGCGGUGUGCCUUAAGCAUGCAAGUCGAGCGGCCCGAGCAAUCGGGCAGCGGCAGACGGGUGAGUAACGCGUAGGAAUCUACCUCGAAGUGGGGAAUAGCCAGUCGAAAGGCUGGGUAAUACCGCAUGUGCUCGUGAGAGUAAAGCAGCAAUGCGCUUUGAGAGGAGCCUGCGUCCUAUCAGCUAGUUGGUGGGGUAAAGGCCUACCAAGGCGACGACGGGUAGCCGGUGUGAGAGCAUGACCGGCCACAAGGUUACUGAGACACGGAACCUACACCUACGGGUGGCUGC